CAGAAUGCUGCGGUGAAUACGUUCCCGGGUCUUGUACACACCGCCCGUCACACCAUGGGAGUCGGAAAUGCCCGAAGCCGGUGACCCAACCAAAAGGAGGGAGCCGUCGAAGGCAGGUCUGAUAACUGGGGUGAAGUCGUAACAAGGUACC
rnacentral:rRNA from 1 species